CAGCCGCCGCGGUAAUACGUAGGGUGCGAGCGUUAAUCGGAUUUACUGGGCGUAAAGCGUGCGCAGGCGGCCCGUUAAGACAGGUGUGAAAUCCCUGGGCUCAACCUAGGAAUUGCGCUUGUGACUGGCGGGCUCGAGUACGGUAGAGGGGGGUGGAAUUCCUGGUGUAGCAGUGAAAUGCGUAGAGAUCAGGAGGAACACCGAUGGCGAAGGCAGCCCCCUGGGCCUGUACUGACGCUCAUGCACGAAAGCGUGGGGAGCAAACAGGAUUAGAUACCCUGGUAGUCCACGCCCUAAACGAUGGGUACUAGCCGUUUGGUGCGCGAAAGCGCUGAGUGGCGAAGCUAACGCGUGAAGUACCCCGCCUGGGGAGUACGGCCGCAAGGUUGAAACUUAAAGGAAUUGGCGGG
rnacentral:rRNA from 1 species